ACAUCAGUGACGGAGAAUUAAGAUGACCUUCGGGGUACUCUUAAUUUCUUAACGGCGGACGGGUAGUAACGCGUGNAAACCUGCCCUAACAGAGGAUAGCCUCGGGAAACCGGGAUUAAUACUCCAUAACACUUAAUCUUUCGCAUGAAAGAUUAGUCAAAACUCCGGUGGUAUAGGAUGGUCCCGCGUCCCAUUAGCUAGUUGGUGAGGUAACUGCUCACCAAGGCAACGAUGGGUAGCCGGCCUGAGAGGGUGAUCGGCCACACUGGAACUGAGACACGGUCCAGACUCCUACGGGAGGCAGCAGUGGGGAAUAUUGCACAAUGGGCGGAAGCCUGAUGCAGCAACGCCGCGUGAGGGAUGACGGCCUUCGGGUUGUAAACCUCUUUCAGUAGGGAAG
rnacentral:rRNA from 1 species